ensembl:lncRNA
CUGGGAUUUCAUUGUUCCCGGGGUGGUGCGGUGUUGUGUUUGUGUUGUGUGUAACCGGCGGUUACCCACCGAUAUACCACAAGCAGGAUUAUAGAAUCUGAAAAGAUAAUCGCUUUAUCUUCCCCUCUUUGGUGUGUGUGUUGCGUGCGGUUUGGCCAGGAAAUGCCAUCCAGGCCUUUGGAUACGAGGCGGACAGUGCGCAGAACAAAGAGGGCUCUAUUCCGGGGCCCUCGGCGACAGCGAGGCCUGGGCCUGAUGGGUCAACGAGCAGCUCGGAGCCCCACUACAUCCCCAACGACGUCCAGCCAGGGGAGGAUGUCCUCGGCAAGUCUCACCUGGAGCCCGUCAGUGGUUACGGUGGUCUGAUCCGGCAGCAGGACCAGCCCGGCGACGGCUCAGCCAGUCUGAGGGGCCCCUGGGCACUGGUCCCGGGCCUUGUCUUGGCCCUCGUCCUGCUGCAGCAGGCCGUAUAGAGUGGCCGGAGGGGGGUCGGAGUGUCGGAGUUCAUCCACUACGCGCUGAUCCCGGGAGGGUUGACGAAGAGGAGGGCGAGCGGUGUUGGCCAUUGAUGAAGGAAUAUGACAACCACUGACGAAAAACAGAAGCGAUGGAAGGAGAGGACGGACGCAGGUCAAGGAAGGUGAAGGUAUAGCAGAAGCGGACAUUUUGAGACCCGAUCAAAAAAAGAAACCCCAAACCAACGUAAUCUACUCAUUUCUUUUUGUGUUUCUGUGAGGGCAUGUCGAUAAAAAAAAUAAACAACGCACAGGAGGAGGCGGAGUCUAAGGACAUAGGGACUGGGAUUGGACCCCCAGGGGGGGGGGGGGCUUCCCCACUGAGACUGAAAGCCCUGAGACUAUAGCCCUCUGACUUUGGAGGCCCCCCCCAGCAGGGCGGCCCCCCCACCACUGCACUCUCGCUGCGCCGGAAAAGGCAGUGGGGGAAGGGGAGGGGAUCAAUUAAUAAUUAGGGGAAGAGAGAAUGGAAAGUGUAUUGUAUAGUGUAAAAAAAGAGAGAGAGAAUUAGGACUAACAGUGUGGGGGAGGGGGGGCUGGAUGAAGUACUCCGACUAUUAGAAGCACUUUUUUCAUCUUGAAUCGGAAUCUCGACGAAAAUUGCAUUGGAUUAAAUUCUGUCUCUUAAACACUAACGUAAACUCUCAAAUGUAAAGCCUACUCCUUGUUCUCCGUGUCGGUAUAGUAUCCGUGAUCAUACUCUCUAACCGUGGUUUGGCUCAUUCGGGUCUGGGCUAACAGUCUAUUUUUUCAGCAGGAUUUGAAAAAUAAAUGUAAAAGGGCGCGAUAUCAGUUUAUGGUUCUCAUGGAGGUGUCCCUUGUGUUCAUAUUUGGCGGGUGAGGGCGCUAUAAGGCCACCCGCAACUGUGUAUAUUUUAUGUCCCUGUACAUAGAUAAAAAAAUGUUUUUGUUUGUUUUGAUUUGUUUUCUUUCAUUGGAACUAAUGUUAUCUGCAGUACUUUAAUGGACAUUGCUGUAUGUCAUGUGACAGUAUUACGGAUGAGUGAUUGGGCUCUAUCCAGAGCCUUCAUUAUCUGCGUUUCUAUUUGUCCAUGAAGGUUGGAACCACAAAGAAUGUAUUCCGGGAUGAAAUUAAACGAGCGCUAAUUGCUUGGAAAAGCCAUAACCUGUGUUUGAGUACCUCUGGAGAGUCCCCUUCGAGCACUUCACGGUUAAUGUUCAGGAGGAGAGAACGCUUCAGCCACACAAUGACAUAACAGACGGGGGGUUUUAUUUACUGCCCUCAGAGAGCUAAGGGGCUACAUCAAUGUUGACAAUUGUUCCGGUUUGAUUACACGUGCGGGUUAGGGUUUCAACCUGCAGAAAAUCCCCCUAAUCCCGAGAACCACCACACCACAACAAUAACAUCAAACCGAUGGGUUCCCAAGCCAAACUUGCCGAUAAAUAGUCAGUAGGCCUAUUUCAAUAAAGCUUGUUAUAAAUGCAUCCUUAUUUACAAAACGUAGCUCGAUUCUCUCCCUCCUGGGGUAAUGUGAAACUCCUUCGGCGUCCUCCGUGCUAAUUAGUUUACUGUUCCUCGGAUGGCUCCAUUUGUGCGUAGGCCGACAGCUACUACAUGUUUACGCUCCGAAGCAAAGCGCUCAUUGCGGGCAGCAAGGCGACUGCUGGAGCUGCAGCAGUCAGAGUCCGAAGGCGUGCAGUCGCAGCGUCGGGAGCGCGGAGCUCCUCACGGCGUGGGCCGGUUAAGACGCCGGCUUACCGGCUGCCGCUGCUCUGGGAUCAGAUCUAAACACUUUCUGUGGCAGACAUAACAGAAACACCGGAGCUGAGAUCUAAACAAGGUGUCAGUGUGUCCCUCAUUAGAGACGCUGUUCCGUGUUUGCGGUCGCUGGGAAAACCAAACAAAAAUCGGCGAGAGAGGAACAAAGCAGGAUGUAUAAACAGCCAUUUUGUUCAUUGGCUCUCCCCCUGGCAGAUGGAGGCGUUUGUAGUUAAAUAAAUAUUUAUUUUGCAUUGGGACAUACUAACAGAACAUGUAACACGUUGAAUGUUGAGAAUUGUUCAGAGAUGCUGUGACAUGACAUGUAUAAAUAUAUUCCAACUCUGUGUAAGACAGGAAUUGUUAUCGCUAAAAUAUAAAUAUUAUUUUGACAGAAUAUUGAGACGUUCAUGGUCAUUGCCAAGUGUGAAGAUGAACACAUCUUCCUUUUACCUUCAAGAGCAUGUUGUGAAAAUAAAAAAAUACAGAAAUUUGAAUCUUCGGAGAGUAGACUAGACCUGUAUAAAUACUUGGUAGUCUACUCUUCGAGGCAAUGUCACGGUUCUUAUACAUAAUUUAUCGUUCCAAACUUUCAAACGCUGGGAACCAAUUGCUCUGAAUUAACCCAAGGAUGGAGAAAUGGAUGGAAGUAUAUGCCUGGUAUUAAUCAAUCCCUGCAGAAGCUACCUAGAGCAGCAAAGUGGACACAAACUGUGAUUUGUGUGCCGUAUGUGUAUGAGUUUUGUUAUGCAUCACUUUAUUAGCGAUGUUAAUACCGAUAUACAUGCAUAUGUUUGAUAUCUGCAGCAGUGAUUCGAGUAGAUUACAGAUCUACUCUGUGCUUUUAGAGUCCUGCCUCUAUUGUAGUAUUAUAUUGUAUCUGGAUGGAGUGCACUCGACACACACUUUAGCAACAAAAAGAAAAGGCUGGCGACUUUGGUACAUGAAUCUGACAGUACAUAACGUUAUAUAACCAUCAACUCACUCAAUUUGUUGAGAUUGUGCCAGUCUUGAAUUGACUGUGAUUCCUACAAAUCAGGCCAACUGCUGAAAUACAUGUCAACGUUUUCGUACAUUAAAUUUUGUUUCAAAUCUGAACUGUUAACUGUCUUUUUGGCCUUUCUCCCCUUCCUAAAAUAAAC